rnacentral:rRNA from 1 species
CCUACGGGAGGCAGCAGUAGGGAAUCUUCCACAAUGGACGAAAGUCUGAUGGAGCAACGCCGCGUGAGUGAAGAAGGGUUUCGGCUCGUAAAGCUCUGUUGGUAGUGAAGAAAGAUAGAGGUAGUAACUGGCCUUUAUUUGACGGUAAUCUCUUCGAAAGUCACGGCUAACUACGUUCCAACAGCCGCGGUAAUACGUAGGUGGCAAGCGUUGUUCGGGUUUAUUGGGCGGAAAGCGAGUGCAGGCGGUUCAAUAAGUCUGAUGGGAAAGCCUUCGGCUCAACCGGAGAAUUGCAUCAGAAACUGUUGAACUUGAGUGCAGAAGAGGAGAGUGGAACUCCAUGUGUAGCGGUGGAAUGCGUAGAUAUAUGGAAGAACACCAGUGGCGAAGGCGGCUCUCUGGUCUGCAACUGACGCUGAGGCUCGAAAGCAUGGGUAGCGAACAGGAUUAGAUACCCUUGUAGUC